rnacentral:rRNA from 1 species
GACGAACGCUGGCGGCGUGCCUAAUACAUGCAAGUCGAACGCAGUGGGGACGGGUGCGUAACACGUGGGUAACCUCCCAUCAGAGGGGAUAACACUUGGAAACAGGUGCUAAACCGAUACUGAUGGAUGAACCCGCGGUGCAUUAGCUAGUUGGUGAGGUCACGGCUCACCAAGGCCACGAUGCAUAGGCGACCUGGGAGGGUGAUCGGCCACACUGGGAAGUGGACACGGCCCAGGCGCCUAAGGGAGGCAACAGGAGGGAAACUUCGGCAAUUGGCGGAAGUCUGACCGAGCGACGCCGCGGUAGAGAAGAAGGUCUUCGGGUCGUAAAACUCUUUUGUUAGGGGAGCGGUAUCUAACCAGAAAGCCACGGCUAACUACGUGCCAGCAACCGCGGUAAUUC